rnacentral:rRNA from 1 species
GGCCUGGGCGGGCGGUCUGCCUCACGGUAUGUACUGUCUGCCUGGGUCUUACUUCUUGGUGAGCCGGCAUGCCCUUCACUGGGUGUGUCGGGGAACCAGGACUUUUACCUUGAGAAAAUUAGAGUGUUCAAAGCAGGCCUAUGCCCGAAUACAUUAGCAUGGAAUAAUAAAAUAGGACGUGCGGUUCUAUUUUGUUGGUUUCUAGAGUCGCCGUAAUGAUUAAUAGGGAUAGUUGGG